GUUUCCUAGCCGGCUGUAAUAAUGAUGUGUGCAGUUACAAGUUUCGUGUUAACUGAUGGCUAGAGCCAGCUGGAGGUGGGCAGCCCACGAGCAAGUGAAUCAUUAUCUUUUCGCUAUAUCCUAACAUGUGCCAUGGGCUGUUUUAAAUGCAAGGGACAGCAAAGAUUAUCUCGCGUGACUUAACUUUGGCAUGCUACUAAG